rnacentral:lncRNA from 1 species
CAUUUUUCAAAAUACAGAGAUCCAACAGCAGCUGUCCAUGGCCUAAAAAUGUUUGGAAAUUGCUGCUCUAAUACAAAUGACUUAUUUUAUGGUAGAAGCCAAAAAGGCAGAAUAGUGAAAUUACUUGCAUCUAUCUCUCCUGUUGAAAAUGAGAUUUAAUGGAUCUGUGAAGUAACUUAAAAUAUUUCCUGGAAAAUACAUUUAAUAAGAAGAGAAUGAAAUUGACUACCUGUACCUUCCCGCUGACUUCUGCCUGGUUAUGUGCUUCUUUCCUCUGACUCCUGCUUUAUUUUCCAGAAAAGAGCUAGUCCAAUGAAAUAGCAGUAGAGAGAGUUUCUCUUUUAUAGGUCCUUUAGGUAUAUACUUAGGGGUAAAUUUGCCAUAACCAGAUAUGGACCACCAUAAAAGCAUAUAUGAUUUCUAGUAAUCUAUGCUGAUUCUUUACUGUUAUCAUCAUGGCAACGGAACCCCAUGAUACAACAAUGACAUUACAGUAAGGAGAAAGACUGCAUAAGGAGGACCAAUCAGCUCACUUGAAAGCACAUGCAGGGUUUUUGGCAACAGGGACAUGAAUGUUGCUGAAAAUAUAGGCUAUGAUUCAUACACAUAUGAGACUCGAAGGGAAAAAUCUGACUCAGAAAAACUCAGGAAAGCUAAUAAGAAAGAACAAGACAGGAAGUCUGACCUACAUCUGAGAAACGUGAACCAUGGCUUUCAGCAGUGGAAGGAAUUUUUGUAUGAAUCAUGCCAGGGAACAGAUUCCUCACCACCCGAACUGCACGACUGCAUGAUGGUACACCUUCUUUUGUCUAGGCAUGUUUUUCUCUGGGAAAUUUAGGCAAAGAGAAACAGAUUUUACAUAUUUUUUUUCUUCCUUUUCAAUAACGACUACAUUUUCUGGUUACCAUUAUUUUAGCUCUGCCCUACAGUUAACAUGAGAUUAAACUGUCAAGAAGAAGGUCACUUUAACAUUUUCCUAGAUGGCACAAAAGACCUGAAAAAAAAAUCUGCCCAUUCUUUCUUCUCUUUGGUGAGUCACUGUACGACUCUUAAGGGAGAGUGUUGGUCUUUGAAGUCAGAGAGAACCAGAUUCUAGUCUUACUGCUUAGAAGUCAUGUGGCCUUGAGCAAAUUGUAUAACCUUUGGUGUCUAGGGCUCUCAUCUGUAGACAAAAAAUAGUAAUAUUUGUGUCUGAGUGUUGAGCUGAGGAGGGCCUGACACAGAGUAAUUAAAUAAUUCUCAGCUUCCCUUGAGCCCAAAUAUUUGCAUAUUAUAAAAGCUCCACAGGUGGUUCUGUUUUUCACCCAAGAUAAAGAACCUGUAUAUUGGAUGUAAGUAUUCAUAACAUUAACUCCUUUUUGCUUUACUUCCAUUUAGGCUAAAAAGAAUCUAAUUUAUAUUUCACACUAAAG